rnacentral:rRNA from 1 species
ACGGGGGGGGCAAGCGUUGUUCGGAAUUACUGGGCGUAAAGGGCUCGUAGGCGUCCAACUAAGUCAGACGUGAAAUCCCCAGGCUUAACUUGGGAACUGCGUCUGAUACUGGAUGGCUUGAGUUUGGGAGAGGGAUGCGGAAUUCCAGGUGUAGCGGUGAAAUGCGUUGAUAUCAUCAGGAACACCGGAGGCGAAGGCGGCUUACUGGGGCCUUUCUGACGCUGAGGAACGAAAGCUAGGGGAGCGAACGGGA